rnacentral:rRNA from 1 species
GACGAACGCUGGCGGCGUGCCUAAUACAUGCAAGUAGAACGCUGAAGGAGGAGCUUGCUUCUCUGGAUGAGUUGCGAACGGGUGAGUAACGCGUAGGUAACCUGCCUGGUAGUGGGGGAUAACUAUUGGAAACGAUAGCUAAUACCGCAUAAUAGCAGUUGUUGCAUGAUAACUGUUUGAAAGGUGCAAUUGCACCGCUACCAGAUGGACCUGCGUUGUAUUAGCUAGUUGGUGGGGUAACGGCUCACCAAGGCGACGAUACAGAGCCGACCGGAGAGGGGGAUCGGCCACACUGGGAGUGAGACACGGCCCAGACGCCUACGGGAGGCAGCAGUAGGGAAUCUUCGGCAAUGGACGGAAGUCUGACCGAGAAACGCCGCGGGAGGGAAGAAGGUUUUCGGAUCGUAAAGCUCUGUUGUAAGAGAAGAACGAGUGUGAGAGUGGAAAGUUCACACUGUGACGGUAUCUUACCAGAAAGGGACGGCUAACUACGUG